CACUCUCACAUAACUUCCGGUCUGGUUUUUCGACCUUCGUUUUUUGAGAAGGAGAUGGUUUAUUUGAAUUUUGAAAAAGUUAAUAAUUAAAAAUAUAUUCAUUUUUGUUGUUGUGUUUAUUAUAUCUCAAUAAUCUGCUAGUUUAUUCCACCGAUAGUCGGCCUUUUUCACGCUGGCUUCGGCAAACCAGAGACACUUUAGUGGGCAAACACGAUAAAAGUGCUGUCAGCAGCAGCUUUGCGAAGCUCACCACGGACGCACGUCUGCAUCCGAACUUUGCGCUCGGACUGUUCUCUCCGCUUUUCUUACUGUAGUAAUUUGGGGUGUGUUAGCGCUUUAUUUCUUUUCUAAAAAAUAUUUGGUUUUAAAUCUAGAAAAGAAAAACAUAACGCUGAAAGAGAACAGAUAAGCAUGAGGAUAUGGCAGGUCUGAUUACAAGGACUUUGUCAGCCACCAGGAUAUUCCUUUCAACAAGUGCCAUCCACUUUCUCACCACAGCUGUCAGACAAACACCUCAGCUUACUGUGCAUGCUCUGCAUUGUGCCACUCCAUUAUGCUCUGAUGAAGUCUCAAAAGCCCAAACAGCAACAAAAACAGCUGAGCCAACCAUCUUUUCCAAGAUAUUAAACAGGAUAAUACCAGCACAUAUUUUAUAUGAAGAUGAGAAGUGUAUGGCAUUCAGAGAUGUUAGUCCCCAGGCUCCAGUUCAUUUCCUGGUCAUCCCUCGAAAACCUAUACCAGGGUUAAGUGAUGCACAACCUGAGGAUGAAGGCUUUUGGGUCACUUGCUUCUGGUGGCUCGUAAUGUUGCUGUACAGGAAAAGCUGAAAAAGGGCUACCGUGUUGUGAUCAACAGUGGUCCAGAUGGGUCACAGUCUGUCUACCAUCUUCACAUCCAUGUACUUGGUGGACGGCAGAUGGGUUGGCCUCCUGGCUAACAUUGCAGAGAGUUACAUUUCUUUUGCUUUUAUCCUGUAUUAGAAAACUAGGAUAGGGGUUGUUAGGGAAGUGAUAUUUCUUGUAUGGGCUGAUUUUCAAGAUCUAUUAGUUAUUCAUUACCAGAAAUGCCUCACAGUUCUUUUCAUGGUGAAAAGGAGAACGAAUAUUAUUUUUGUUACUUUGGUUAUACUCGGUGUGUAAAAAUUAUAAGCUGAUAAUUAUAGUUUAUUAUGACUAUUUUACUGCAAGUCAGAAAUGUGUAAUUGGUGACUGAAUCUGUUUGAUAGUAGUAAUACAGGUAUCUGGAUAUUGCAGUGUGUUUACUUUAUCAGUCAUGUUGCUUUACAAGAAUUUCAUUCAUCAUAUUUAUCUGAAUGAAGCAAAACCAAUGCACUAUUACUGUUUCAUACCUUGUUCUACUUUUAUUUUGCUGUAUAUGUUUGUCUUUAAUGUAUGCUGUUGAUUGAUAAUUUUUGUUUCUUGUUGUGAACAAAGAUUUGCUGACAUUUAAAAUUGAUUCACUGGUUUUAUUGUUGUUGUUUUUUUAAUUCCAUCUUUCAUAUGCAAAAUAGUGACAUCAAUGACUUUUCUGUGGUGAUGAUUUUAAAUAGUUGCUCAAAACUGAACUUACACAUAUAUGCAUGUCUUGCCCUUUAUGGUUUCUUCUGUGUCUUUACACAUCUGAAAGUGCAUUGUGGAACAAUCUAGUUUUUGUGCCUUUUGACAACCUUGCCCAAAAUGUCAAAUGAAAUUUGUCCAUUAACUGACUGCUUUAGUUCCUUCCAAUAAAGGAAAGUUGAUAGCAAUUUUUUAUUUUGUUUUUGUAAUAUAUAGCUCUGUCUAUUCCACCAUUUGAACUGCUUACAGCUGGCCCUAACUUAUCAAGGAAACAUCUGAAGUACAUUUUGUGGUCCACAGGAUCAGAUGUUAUCUUUUAUAUAGUUUCAUUCAUAAUUGGGAAGGAGUUUGCUUUUGACUCAAGCCAAGUUUUGCAAACUAGGUCCAUAUAGUUUAGACUAAUUUAUAGAUAACAUCAAUGUCGCGUAACACCCUAGCUUUGGUCGCCGGACGCUAAGCUCUCGCAACACGCUACAUGAGGAGACAAAAGCGAAAAGACUUGUUUAUUAGCACCCAAAAUAAAACAGGCAUGAAGGGAACAAAAGGACGCAGCAGCUUGGAACGGAAGGGAAACAAGAAACCGUUUUAAUGAAGUCUUUUUAUACAGAAGACGCAAAAAAAGGGGAGAAAUGCCACUCAAUUUUUUUUUAAUUUGUUUUUUUUUUUUUUUUUUACCCUUCUGGGUUCAUCUCGUCUCGGGACCCUCUGUAUGUGGCAUCUGCUAACAGGGCUGGGCGUCAAGGGUUUUCUACGGUUUACUCCCUCUCGUCCAUAGUGCGAAAUCCCCGUAUUGGAGGACAGUGUCUAUUGUGCUGCUGGGGGUCCACCUAGCCGGAGCUGGACAAACAGACUGUAGCUACCACCGAACCGGCCUUCAACCUUCUGCCGCACCGUGAGAUUCAGUAUAAAAGACAAAGUAAGCAAAAAGUCUGGGACAGUCAGAUACCACUCGGAUGUGUUCAAGUGUUUCCAAAGUUGAAAAAAAACGUUUCGAAGACAAAACGCGCUUAGUGAGGCUCAUGAUGGAGAGAUAGCCCUGAACGAAUAAGCAAGGGUAUAGCAUAUUUGAUAGCCCAGGUGAGGUCUGGUUGCUGACAUAUUUCAUGUCCGUGGUCAGGUCUGGUUGCUGAUGGCUAAUCCAGUCACGUGUCUUUGACGUCUUUCUUGGCUGAUGUCGUCAGCUCCUGACGUAAUUUCCCUGACGAGAAGUGGUUCUACCAGAAGUCACUACAAGAGGAGAAGGGUAAGGACGAACCAUUUUCUCACUUGCAAACCGGACACUUCGCAUUUGCAUCAACGAACAUUCGGACACAUUAAACAAAAAAUAAUUAUCUGCAUGCAAAAGUGAACGGUUGGUGCGAAGAACGCAGGGAAAUGGAUGAACGCAAUAUGACAGAACAGAAAAAGAUGCUGACCAUGGACAAGACAGAUGAGCAGGACGCAGAUGGGGUCUUGACGCAUUUGAUGAAGAAGUCAGUGAUAAGCAAGAGGUCAAUCACAGAACAAAGCUUCUUCGAACACAAUCGUUACCCAUUAAAGAUUAUGGGCAUCGUAGUGGUCCUCACUGUUGUCUGCAUAUGGUUAAUGCCUGUGUGUCUGGGGCGUGGGUGGGGUCUGUGUGUGUGUGGGAAAUGUCUGUGUGCAGCUGCUUGCUCAUGCGCUACUGUUGCCAGCUGGCGCAGGACACCAGCUCCACACCGGACGAAAUUGAGACAAGACGUCAGCUCCGCAAAAAAGCGUUAAAUGGCAAGCGAUCAUCUGUUCUUGCCGUCGCGCCGUCCUCCUCCUCCACAUCCAUUCAUUCGCAGAGAAGCGUCUCCAUGAUGAUGUCAGAUACACUACUGAACCCGAACAAAUUUAACAAAAAAGCCAACUUACAAAGACUGUCUCGAAUCAGCGAAGAGUCGAGUUCACUGUCGACCAUAUCGAAGAGGCCGAGCAAUGUCGGUUCUGUCGGCGCUGGCUCUGUCCGCCCACACACUGUCCAAGAUUUUAGAGGACGAGAUCGAAAGCUCGAAACAAUCGCAGAUACCGAUGACGUCGAGCUGCGGAGGACAUCCUCCAUUUAGUAGAGCUUGAUAAUGGCACAGGAAGUGAAGGAGUGGUGGCACAUUCUCACAGUCAACAAAGCAAGAAAAACACUGGAAGUGAAAUGUGAUGGGAGGUUUUUGGACCUACAUGACCUGUGUAAGGCAGCCUUAACUGGCAUGUAUCUCAAUGUGAUCUGCAUGUCAAUCUGCCUGUCCUAUAUUCUAAACCUUCUUGUGGCAAAACUUUCGUAUAUGUGCUGGAGGUUUGUGGAAUGAACAACAGAGUAUUCAUUUAAAUAAAGAGAUAUUCUAAGAAA
rnacentral:misc_RNA from 1 species